AUUGAACGCUGGCGGAAUGCUUUACACAUGCAAGUCGAACGGCAGCACGGACUUCGGUCUGGUGGCGAGUGGUGAACGGGUGAGUAAUAUAUCGGAACGUAUCCAAUAAUGGGGGAUAACUAAUCGAAAGGUUGGCUAAUACCGCAUACGUCCUACGGGAGAAAGCUAGGGACCUUCGGGCCUGGCGUUAAUGGAGCGGCCGAUAUCGGAUUAGCUAGUUGGUGAGGUAAAGGCUCACCAAGGCGACGAUCCGUAGCUGGUCUGAGAGGACGACAAGCCACACUGGAACUGAGACACGGUCCAGACUCCUACGGGAGGCAGCAGUGGGGAAUUUUGGACAAUGGGCGAAAGCCUGAUCCAGCCAUUCCGCGUGAGUGAAGAAGGCCUUCGAGUUGUAAAGCUCUUUCGCAAGAGAAGAAAACUUACCCUCUAACAUAGGGUGAGGUUGACGGUAUCUUGAUAAGAAGCACCGGCUAACUACGUGCCAGCCGCCGCCGUAA
rnacentral:rRNA from 1 species